rnacentral:rRNA from 1 species
GACGAACGCUGGCGGCGUGCUUAACACAUGCAAGUCGAACGGAAAGGCCCUGCUUUUGUGGGGUGCUCGAGUGGCGAACGGGUGAGUAACACGUGAGUAACCUGCCCUUGACUUUGGGAUAACUUCAGGAAACUGGGGCUAAUACCGGAUAGGAGCUCCUGCUGCAUGGUGGGGGUUGGAAAGUUUCGGCGGUUGGGGAUGGACUCGCGGCUUAUCAGCUUGUUGGUGGGGUAGUGGCUUACCAAGGCUUUGACGGGUAGCCGGCCUGAGAGGGUGACCGGCCACAUUGGGACUGAGAGACGGCCCAGACUCGUACGGGAGGCAGCAGUGGGGAGUAUUGCACAAUGGGCGGAAGCCUGAUGCAGCAACGCCGCGUGCGGGAUGACGGCCUUCGGGUUGUAAACCGCUUUCGCCUGUGACGAAGCGUGAGUGACGGUAAUGGGUAAAGAAGCACCGGCUAACUACGUG